rnacentral:rRNA from 1 species
GAUGAACGCUGGCGGCGUGCCUAAUACAUGCAAGUCGAGCGAACGGACGAGAAGCCUGCUUCUCUGAUGUUAGCGGCGGACGGGUGAGUAACACGUGUAUAACCUACCUAUAAGACUGGUAUAACUUCGGGAAACCGUAGCUAAUACCGGAUAAUAUUUUGAACCGCAUGGUUCAAAAGUGAAAGACGGUCUUGCUGUCACUUAUAGAUGGAUCCGCGCUGCAUUAGCUAGUUGGUAAUGUAACGGCUUACCAAGGCAACGAUGCAUAGCCGACCUGAGAGAGUGGUCGGCCACACUGGAACGUGACCGCCGUCCUGGCUACUACGGGAGGGAGCAGUCGGGGAUCGUCCGCAAUGGGGGAAAGCCUGACGGAGCGACGGCGAGUGAGUGAUGGAAGUCUUCGGAUCGUAAAAAUCGGUUUUUAGGGAAGAACAUAUGUGUAAGUAACUGUGCACAUCUUGACGGUACCUAAUCAGAAAGCCACGGCUAACUACGUG